UUUGAUGGCGACCGGCGCACGGGUGAGUAACACGUAUCCAACCUGCCGAUGACUCGGGGAUAGCCUUUCGAAAGAAAGAUUAAUACCCGAUGGCAUAGUUCUUCCGCAUGGUAGAACUAUUAAAGAAUUUCGGUCAUCGAUGGGGAUGCGUUCCAUUAGGUUGUUGGCGGGUAACGGCCCACCAAGCCUUCGAUGGAUAGGGGUUCUGAGAGGAAGGUCCCCCACAUUGGAACUGAGACACGGUCCAGACUCCUACGGGAGGCAGCAUG
rnacentral:rRNA from 1 species